rnacentral:rRNA from 1 species
CCUACGGGGGGCAGCAGUGAGGAAUAUUGGUCAAUGGACGAGAGUCUGAACCAGCCAAGUAGCGUGAAGGAUGACUGCCCUAUGGGUUGUAAACUUCUUUUAUAUGGGAAUAAAAUGUUCCACGUGUGGGAUUUUGUAUGUACCAUAUGAAUAAGGAUCGGCUAACUCCGUGCCAGCAGCCGCGGUAAUACGGAGGAUCCGAGCGUUAUCCGGAUUUAUUGGGUUUAAAGGGAGCGUAGGUGGAUUGUUAAGUCAGUUGUGAAAGUUUGCGGCUCAACCGUAAAAUUGCAGUUGAAACUGGCAGUCUGGAGUACAGUAGAGGUAGGCGGAAUUCGUGGUGUAGCGGUGAAAUGCUUAGAUAUCACGAAGAACUCCGAGUGCGAAGGCAGCUCACUGAACUGCAACUGACACUGAGGCUCGAAAGUGUGGGUAUCAAACAGGAUUAGAUACCCCAGUAGUC